UACAUGUGGGGCAAGCGUUGUUCGGAAUUACUGGGCAUAAAGGGUGCGUAGGUGGCUUGUUAAGUCAGGGGUGAAAGUUUUCGGCCCAACCGGAAAAUGGCCUUUGAUACUGGCGAGCUCGAGUGCGUGAGGGGUUACCGGAACGAGCAGUGUAGCGGUGAAAUGCGUAGAUAUUGCUCGGAAGGCCAACGGCGAAGGCAGGUUACUGGUGCGCAACUGACACUGAGGCACGAAAGCGUGGGGAGCAAACAGG
rnacentral:rRNA from 1 species